rnacentral:rRNA from 1 species
UAAGACGAACCACACAAACGUUAUUCGGAAUUACUGGGCUUAAAGGGUGCGUAGGCGGCGCGGAAAGUUGGGUGUGAAAGCCCUCGGCUCAACCGAGGAAUGUCGCUCAAAACUUCCGUGCUCGAGGGAGGUAGAGGUGAGCGGAACUUAGGGUGGAGCGGUGAAAUGCGUUGAUAUCCUAAGGAACACCGGUGGCGAAAGCGGCUCACUGGACCUCUUCUGACGCUGAGGCACGAAAGCUAGGGGAGCAAACGGGAUUAGAUACCCCGGUAGUCCUAGCCGUAAACGAUGAGCACUGGAUUGGAGGGCCCUCCAUAGCCCUCCAGUCGCAGCAAAAGUGUUGAGUGCUCCGCCUGGGGAGUAUGGUCGCAAGGCUG